UUCAAAAUUGCCAUUGGAUAUAUUUUUACGGCCGUUCUUCACAUAUCCCUUCAAUCGUCUUCAAGGGAGUCAGCGGUUACAUGAACAGGCAGGCGGCAGUUCCUCCAUUUUAAUUGGAUGAUGGAGUCGCCGGUGACAGGAAAGCGAAGCGAGUGUCUCCGGGGGGAGUGUUAUGGAUUCCGAUGUGAUUGAGAGGCCUCUGCCGACGCUGAUUAAUCGGAGUUCGAAAUCAAAAACUCUUGUAGUUAAGGAGUGUAUUUUUUGGAAUCCGUAGAACCAAUGGAUGAUUUUCAUGCAUGUUUCCAGUUUUGCUUUAAGUGUGCAGGAUCUGGAUCUGGGGAAGUUCAUACUGGUCUUAGAUUGUCUCAUGGUGGAAUCGAUCGAGGCAUUGAGUUCCUGACACCACCUACCUAACACAAUUGCUAGAUCUCAACUUUGAAAGAUGUCCAAGAGAAGUACUUGCCAGCCUACAAGUCAUCAACUUGCAGUGGCAAGAAGGAUUUUUUUGGCACAUGAGGAAAAAAAUAUGCCAACAUGAUCAUUGUUUUAGGAAGAGGCGAUUCUCAACAGAUUGUAGUAGAAAUAAUAUAUAAAAUUUUGCUAAUUAUAUCCACAAAGGUAAGACAACUCUACUUUUUCUUUUAAUUACUUUUCUUUUAUAAUCAACAAUAUGCAUUUAAUUUUGAUAAUUAUGCACACAACCAAGAGGUAUUGUAUGAAGCUGGAUAUGUCCCUUCAAAUUCUGAAAAGCGUCCUUUGGGGGUUAUCAUCUCUAUUAUUCAAAUUGCUUUCCAUGCAACUCCAGAGUUUACUUGCUCACAAGGUGCUGUAGAGGAACUUCAACUGUGCUUUUAUGAGUAUUUUAAGAUAUGAAUAGGGUGGCGGAAAUGGGGAAUAUUGCUCUAGGCUUGGAUUCUUAAUAAGGAGAAAAAAGUUGAUUCUAAGGCUCCCCAGGGUUCUCGGCAACUGCCAAGACACUCACUGCUUUUGACCUCAUUGUUAUUGGUACAUUAAUUUGUUUAGCUCCCUUAUAACAGUAUAUUUUCUCGUUCAGACAUAUGGUUUUUUGUUUUACACCUUGUCAAAUAUAUUGUGUUUACUUGUUGCAGAAUGCAGAUACAUCAGUAAAAUGUAUUUUAUGGUUA